GCAUUCAAGUCUUUUGACUGUCUUCUGAGUGCCAGGGAGGAGUGGGAGCUGGCUACUCCAUAAGAAAGGAUGAGAUAAACACAUUUCUACAAAAUCUGAGACUUACAUCUUGAACUGGAACCUAUUUGUGAGUAGAUUCAACAGCAGCAAAUUUGUCUAAAAUAAUAUUUAAGAGAGAGCAGAAACUGGAAAAUUGCUGAAUAUGCUGAAGAUUUAUUCCUGAAACAAAGGCAUAACUUACCAGUUAGGCUGAAGAAUAAAAGGCAGUGUCCUAAAUAACAUCAGUCUCACAGUU